ACGGGACGCAGCAGUAGGGAAUUUUCGUCAAUGGGCGCAAGCCUGAACGAGCAAUGCCGCGUGAACGAGGAAGGUCUUCGGAUCGUAAAGUUCUGUUGAAGGGGAAAAAGAGCGGAGAGAGGAAAUGGUCUCCGAUUGAUAUUACCCUUCGAGGAAGUCACGGCUAACUACGUGCCAGCAGCCGCGGUAAUACGUAGGUGGCGAGCGUUAUCCGGAAUGAUUGGGCGUAAAGGGUGCGUAGGCGGCCUGCUAAGUCUGGAGUGAAAGGUACCGGCUCAACCGGUACAGGCUCUGGAAACUGGCGG
rnacentral:rRNA from 1 species